UACGGAGGAUCCAAGCGUUAUCCGGAAUCAUUGGGUUUAAAGGGUCCGUAGGCGGUUUUAUAAGUCAGUGGUGAAAUCCGGUAGCUCAACUAUCGAACGGCCAUUGAUACUGUAGAACUUGAAUUAUUGUGAAGUAACUAGAAUAUGUAGUGUAGCGGUGAAAUGCUUAGAUAUUACAUGGAAUACCAAUUGCGAAGGCAGGUUACUAACAAUACAUUGACGCUGAUGGACGAAAGCGUGGGGAGCGAACAGG
rnacentral:rRNA from 1 species